rnacentral:rRNA from 1 species
AUUGAACGCUGGCGGCAUGCCUUACACAUGCAAGUCGAACGGCAGCACGGGAGCAAUCCUGGUGGCGAGUGGCGAACGGGUGAGUAAUAUAUCGGAACGUGCCCGGUCGUGGGGGAUAACGUAGCGAAAGCUACGCUAAUACCGCAUACGAUCUACGGAUGAAAGCGGGGGAUCGCAAGACCUCGCGCGAUUGGAGCGGCCGAUAUCAGAUUAGGUAGUUGGUGAGGUAAAGGCUCACCAAGCCGACGAUCUGUAGCUGGUCUGAGAGGACGACCAGCCACACUGGGACUGAGACACGGCCCAGACUCCUACGGGAGGCAGCAGUGGGGAAUUUUGGACAAUGGGCGCAAGCCUGAUCCAGCAAUGCCGCGUGCAGGAUGAAGGCCUUCGGGUU